UAAUUCUCUUUUCUGGUGUGACUACUUU
rnacentral:piRNA from 1 species